UUGACGGAGAGUUUGAUCCUGGCUCAGGGUUAACGCUGGCGGUGCGCAUAACACAUGCAAGUCGAGCGAGGGCUCAUUUCCCGCAAGGGAGAUGGGUUCCUAGCGGCGAACGGGUGAGUAACACGUGGGCAACCUUUCCUAUCGCGGGGGAUAACAGCGGGAAACCGCUGCUAAUACCGCAUGUAGUCACCGGUCGCAUGGCCGGUGAAAAAAGCAGCAAUGCACGAUGGGGUGGGCCCGCGGCCUAUCAGCUAGUCGGUGGGGUAACGGCCUACCGAGGCGAUGACGGGUAGCU
rnacentral:rRNA from 1 species